UACAGAGGUCCCAAGCGUUGUUCGGAUUCACUGGGCGUAAAGGGUGCGUAGGCGGUCGGGUAAGUCUGAUGUGAAAUCUUCAAGCUUAACUUGGAAACUGCAUCGGAUACUAUUCGGCUAGAGGAAUGGAGGGGAGACUGGAAUACUUGGUGUAGCAGUGAAAUGCGUAGAUAUCAAGUGGAACACCAGUGGCGAAGGCGAGUCCCUGGACAACUCCUGACACUGAGGCACGAAAGCUAGGGGAGCAAACAGG
rnacentral:rRNA from 1 species